CCAUGUGUAUCUUGAAACUAUGGUAUAUUUCUUCCCAAUUGUAUUUUUUUUCUUUCUCUACUAUUUGAUAUCUACCAAGGGCGAUUGGUUCCAGACCCCCUGAUGAUAUCAAAUUCUGUGGAAGAUCAAGUUCUUUCUACAAGGUGGUACAAUAUUUAUAAAUAACCUAUGUGCACCCUUCCUACACUUUAGAACAACAUUACUUACAAUUCCUCAAUGUAAAUGAUGUGCAAAUGCUUAUUGUACAAGAAAAAUGCUGAACACAUUUAGUACAGAUUACAUCUUUUGGAUUACUUUUAAUCUUUACUUGGAUAAAUCCAUGGACCUAGACCCUGCAUGAUCCAGAAUCUAAUGAUAUUUCCUCCUAGAAGUACAGUCCUAUUUGAUUAUAUUUCUUUUGCUUCCCUAUUAAAUUUACUUUAAUGUCUAUUAUUCAAAACUACAUCUUUAUGUGAAUGACUUGUUAGAGCAUGCACAUACAUACAUAAUGUUUUCUCAAAUGCCAAUCAUGGCAUAAUUGGGAGCAUCUUGCAUAUUUUUUUUGCCAUGUGUUAGAUUUGGGAGAUUAAUUAACAUUGAGGUGUAAGUUCCUAUUCAGUACUUUGGUUUUGUAAAAAGAUAGCACUGAUAGAACUUAGAGCUUGUGCUGGCUUAGCAGGUGCUCUAACUGCUGAGCCAUGCCUCCAGCUCUGAUAUUUGUUCUAAUUCUAAUAUAGUCUCCUUUGCUAGGCUUCCUAGUAUUUAGGAUAACAGGCAAGUACUACUACGACUGGCUCUUAGUUGAGAAAGUCUCUCAGAAUUGUUUUCUGCCCUGAUUGGCCUCUAACCAUGGUCUCAAACAAUUGCAGCCUCCAAGUUGGCUAGGACAACAAACAUAGGCCAUCAGCUCCUUGCUCUCUUCGUUUUAUUUAUUGAAAUAUACAUUUUGUAUUCUAUAAUCAGUCAUUUCAUUUAUAAAGUGGUCAGAAACGAAUCAAACUGUUUACUGUUUCUCCUGACUUUAGCAGUUACUUGUGUGUUUCUGUCAUUAGAGGUUGUGAACUCAUGUGUUUUACUCAUGGCAAAAUCCAAGGCCUAAUCUGAAGUGUACACCUCAAGAACUGCUGUUAUAGUCAUGUCUUCAUGUACUUUUGCUGAGUAGU